GCCGGGCGCGGUGGCGCGUGCCUGUAAUCCAAGCUACUGGGAGGCUGAGGCUGGCGGAUCGUUUGAGCUCAGGGGUUCUGGGCUGCAGUGGGCUAUGCCGAUCGGGUGUCCGCACUAAGUUCGGUAUCGAUAUGGUGCUCCUGAGGGAGCUCGGGGCCACCAGGUCGCCUAAGGAGGGGUGAACCGGCCCAGGUCGGGAACGGAGCAGGUCAAAGCCCCCGUGCCGAUCAGUAGUGGGAUCGCGCCUGUGAAUAGACACUGCCGUGCAGCCUGAGUAAUACAGCGGGACUCAGUCUUUU
ensembl:misc_RNA Metazoa_SRP Metazoan signal recognition particle RNA